GGGCCCGCACAAGCGGUGGAGUAUGUGGUUUAAUUCGAUGCAACGCGAAGAACCUUACCUGGGUUUGACAUCCCGCGAAUCUCUAGGAAACUAGGGAGUGCCCUUCGGGGAGCGCGGAGACAGGUGCUGCAUGGCUGUCGUCAGCUCGUGCCGUGAGGUGUUGGGUUAAGUCCCGCAACGAGCGCAACCCUUGUUGCCAGUUGCCACCAGGUAAAGCUGGGCACUCUGGCGAGACUGCCCGGGUCAACCGGGAGGAAGGUGGGGACGACGUCAAGUCAUCAUGGCCCUUACAUCCAGGGCUACACACGUACUACAAUGGCAGAUACAAAGGGUUGCCAAGCCGCGAGGCUGCGCCAAUCCCAGAAAGUCUGUCUCAGUCCGGAUUGCAGUCUGCAACUCGACUGCAUGAAGCUGGAAUCGCUAGUAAUCCCGGAUCAGCAUGCCGGGGUGAAUACGUUCCCGGGCCUU
rnacentral:rRNA from 1 species